UGAGGAAUUUUGCGCAAUGGGGGGAACCCUGACGCAGCAACGCCGCGUGAGUGAUGAAGGCCUUCGGGUCGUAAAGCUCUGUCAUGUGGGAAGAACCCAUCCCAACCCAACACGUUGGGGUGCUGACGGUACCACAGAAGGAAGCACCGGCUAACUCCGUGCCAGCAGCCGCGGUAAUACGGAGGGUGCAAGCGUUAUUCGGAAUUAUUGGGCGUAAAGGGCGCGUAGGCGGCCAGGCAAGUCAGAUGUGAAAUCCCGGGGCUUAACCCCGGAAGUGCAUUUGAAACUGCCUGGCUUGAGUAUGGGAGAGGGAAGUGGAAUUCCUGGUGUAGCGGUGAAAUGCGUAGAUAUCAGGAGGAACACCGGUGGCGAAGGCGGCUUCCUGGACCAAUACUGACGCUGAGGCGCGAAGGCGUGGGGAGCAAACA
rnacentral:rRNA from 1 species